rnacentral:tRNA from 1 species
GCCUGGGUGGCUCAGUCGGUUGAGCGUCUGACUUCAGCUCAGGUCACGAUCUCACGGUCCGUGAGUUCGAGCCCCGCAUGGGGCU